ensembl:lncRNA
AAAUUUGCAAUGUUUUUAUUAUAUUUGAAAACAUAUCAGUAAAGAUGAUUAUCUGGUGUGAUUAUCUGAUAAUUUAUUUCAUCAUUAGAGAAAAGAAAAUGAUGUGAUAAGUCUUCAGUUUGUCCACUCUGAGCUCAUUCUUUGAGCCUUUCCUGUACAGAGUGUUACUAGGUGGUGCAUAUCCAGACAUUUCUCUGAAUGAAUAUGAAGGUGUGGUUCUUUUUCCUGCUGACAAUAAAUAGUUUGUGAACCAAACCUGGACUUUCCAUGUAGCAAAGAUCACUGACUUCCUGUUGUUGCACAUCAAAAAUAUUUACACAGACAUGCAAAUGACACCAUACACUGACAACAAAAUACAUUACAGUAACUACUCACUUCUGUGUUAUCUCACGAUGCAGAUAUUUCAUGUUUGCUCAAUGGCAAAUAUUUUAAACUACAGCAAAUACAGUAGGUGACGAUGAUGAUGACCUUUUAUUUCUGACAUAAAAAAAACCCCCAACAAACCAAUAUAUCCACAUACAUACAAGUACAUCCAUAUAGAUAUACACAAUUUUAUAUGAAUAGAGCGCUCAAAAAAUUUAGUAUUUUGUGUCAGCAAAGUGUUACAGCAUUUCCGUAUUAAUAUCAAUGUGUCACAUUAUAUUUUGUAUGCUGUUUGUUAGUACUGACCGUUUUCCUCUACAUCAGUACUGUUAUUUUCCUAUUGGUGUGAUAGCACAUUUGCUUCUCUCUCUCUCACUUGCUCUCUCUCUCUCUCUCUCCCUCAUUCUCACUCUGCCUCUCUUUUCUACCACUUCCUCACUACUGUGGCCUAUAUGCAGUUUGAUGCAAGGAAGCGAUCAGCUCAUAUCUACUACAGCGUCAGGCCGAGGGGCCCUUCUCCAGCAACCAGGCACUCUGUGGGAUCGUCAUGGGAAACUGUGCUUCAGGAAAGAAGAAAGAGAAAGGGGAUUCUGAACCAGAUGAUAAGACCGCGAAUGACAAGCAACCCAACGAAGAUGUAACGUAUGCUUCUAUUAACCACGACAAAGCCAAAGGAGCAAGACAUAACAGACCACCGACAAACCAGAUCACCGACGACGACUGCGACUAUGCUACAGUUAAUAUUCCUGCAGCACUUCAGCCUCAGUCUGAAUCUGAGUGCUCAUCUAAAGACGAAUGUCCAGAUGAUUAUGUACUUAUGGGGUAAACAAACGGAAGUGGAAGCAUUUGUUCGGUCAAGUGAGUUGCAGAAAAUAUCUGAUGCCAGGUAAAGGCAUGCAAGAACUUGUUUGCACUUGAAUUGUCACUUUAUUUUUUAUAUUCUUAGCUUAAUCAAGAGCAGAUCUUGAUUAUCAAAGAAACUGCCAAAAUGAGAAGAUUAACAGCCAACAGCAGCUGAUUGCGGAAGUAUGUACAGUAACCAGAAAGAAGUUUCUCUCCACAAUUGAAGAAACGUUUUAACCAGAACAUGGUGGUGGUGUUUCUUCCUCAAGAAGACUAACUCGCAUUGCAGACGAACCUGCGAGAGAUGACACGAUUCUCGAGACAUCGGGACUUUACUAAAAGAUUUGAAAAAUCAGAAGAAAGCCAACAAGCUUUCAUCAAUUCUGGACCUCUCUGAGAAGGGCAAUGCAUCCAAAUCAGGAAAUACAGAAGUUUGUGGCAUGCAAUUACUACUUACAAGUGAAUCGAUGAAGUCUUAAAGCCACCAUGUGUGACAUUUUAAUGUGAAUUUGAAAAUGUUUGAAAUAGAAGUUAUAUUUUGUUGUGUUUCUUUAGCUUUAGGUUAGGUUAUGUGAUUUAUGUUUUGGCCCCAAGUUCCUAAAACAUCACAGCACAAAUUCAAAACUUGCUCCUCUUUAAAGAGAAGUUUCCCUGAAGAAACUCAGACUUUUUGACCUGUUUGACCUUUUUGAGACUGUUGCCACACCACAACUGAAAGUCUGAGAAUGUCCACCACAUUCUCAGACAUACCUAACAUUUUGUUUGCAUAGGAAAGUCUAGAACUGGUAUUUUGUGGUUUCAUAGCGUGCAUGUGCAACAAUAAUGGCAGAACUGUUUGGGGGUUUUUGAGAGACAAAUUUGUUGAUAUGAAUGCAUCUGCUGUAAGGUGCUGCUCAGGAAGGUUUGAUCAUUAUCUAGAGUCUGUUGCUGGUGGUUGGUGCUGAAACAAUGCCAACUCUUUGCUCCACCAUUAAUCAGUUUCACAACGCCCCAUAUUGAGUUCCCUCAGAAAGCGUUUUCAAACUUAAUACUGCCCAAACCUAAAAUGCAAUCCAAAUGUGCAACCAAAUACGAAAACAGUUUGUGUAAUUUGAUCUAUUGCCACAUUAUAAAACGAUAGUCCAGACCACACAUAGUCAGAAGCAUUUCACAGCAUGUAAGAAGCACUCCACAGGCCCCAAUAUACUACAAACACACUGAAAGGUUGAGAAGUUGUUUGUUUGUUUUUUCUUUGAGAGAUGGUUUUUUGUGCCUUUUAGUUUGAAUCUGUCUAAUCAACAGAAUUAUUUAUACAUUUAACUUCAUGGCAGAGUACUGUUAUUUACCCCAUCUGUUCUUAUUCUGCUGUAUGAAUAAACUGCAUGUCUGAAAAACUGAAAGAAGAAGAAAAAAAUCUUUUCAAUUUAAAACGAAAACCAGUUUUGCUAUUUGCUUCUGCUUUUAAGAGGAAAUCAUGUUAAUGUGCUAAGUCACUGUAAGAGUUCAAAUAGUCAGGCUGUGAAAAUAGGGAUAUAUUUGUGAGGCAAAUUUUUAGUUCUCUCAUUAUAAUGGAAAUACAAUUAUAGUCACUGCAGCUCUUGCCUCUGAUCUACCCUCUAUCACUUACUAAAGCUACUGAAAAGAACAAGUGUGAAGCCACUGACAUACAUGUGUGUAUAUAUAUAUUUAUGUAUAUGGAGAGAGAGAAACUUUGACUUUUGGUUUAGAUCAUUGUUAAUGAGUAUAGUGUUGGUGAUCAUGUCAGAAUUGAUGAAUGAAUGCAGAAAUGUGCCAUCAGCUUUUCAACCGCCAUGCAAAAGCAUUUGGAAUGAAGCUGAAGCUGGAACAGCUUCAUUUUUC